GAUCAUGGCUACAGAACGACGCUGGCGGCAGGCCUAACACAUGCAAGUCGAGCGCCCCGCAAGGGGAGCGGCGGACGGGUGAGUAACGCGUGGGAACGUACCCUUUGCUACGGAAUAGCCUCGGGAAACUGGGAGUAAUACCGUAUGUGCCCUUCGGGGGAAAGAUUUAUCGGCAAAGGAUCGGCCCGCGUUGGAUUAGGUAGUUGGUGGGGUAAUGGCCUACCAAGCCGACGAUCCAUAGCUGGUUUGAGAGGAUGAUCAGCCACACUGGGACUGAGACACGGCCCAGACUCCUACGGGAGGCAGCAGUGGGGAAUCUUAGACAAUGGGCGCAAGCCUGAUCUAGCCAUGCCGCGUGAGCGAUGAAGGCCUUAGGGUUGUAAAGCUCUUUCAGUGGGGAAGAUAAUGACUGUACCCACAGAAGAAGCCCCGGCUAACUCCGUG
rnacentral:rRNA from 1 species